CCUCAAGAUGAGAUUUCCCAUGAUUUUAUAUCAGUAAGAGCCCUGAGAGAUGAUCAGGUAGAUAGGUUAGAAGUGGAAGUGUGGUGACACAUGUAGCGGACUAAUACUAAUAGCUCGAGGACUUAUCCA
rnacentral:rRNA from 1 species